CCCCCGGCCCCGACCCGGAGGGAUGCGGAGUGGCGGCGGCGGCAGUCGCGGAGACUGUGGCUUUAAGAGCGCGCCCGGAGCCCGGGAGCCAGCCGGGCGGUCCUUCGCUGCUGCGCACCCCGGCGGAGCCGAGCCCAGCGCUGGCCGGACGGGGCAGCCUGCUGCCGGGCUGCUGAGAACCAGCCCUCGACCUCUGCUUGAGGGUCCUUCCUCUGAAGACAUCACCAGUGUGUGGAGCCUGCCCCACACCCACCCCCUGCCAAACCACGGCCUUUACCUGUGUCUUCCGGUGUUUCCCGUGCGACCCGUCCUGUGGGAGUGCCUCGUGGGCCACUCCAGAGUUCACCCCACACUCAGCGGCGCCAAUGGUGAAGAUGACAAGAUCCAAGACUUUCCAGGCAUAUCUGCCCUCCUGCCACAGGACCUACAGCUGCAUUCACUGCAGAGCCCACUUGGCCAAUCACGAUGAACUCAUUUCCAAGUCGUUCCAAGGAAGUCAAGGACGAGCAUACCUCUUUAACUCAGUAGUUAAUGUGGGCUGCGGGCCUGCAGAAGAGCGAGUGUUGCUAACAGGACUCCAUGCAGUUGCAGACAUUUACUGUGAAAACUGCAAAACCACUCUGGGCUGGAAAUAUGAACAUGCCUUUGAAAGCAGCCAGAAAUAUAAAGAAGGCAAAUACAUCAUUGAGCUAGCACACAUGAUCAAGGACAAUGGCUGGGACUGAUCGGAGGGUAUCCACCUAACCCAGUGUCCACGUGAACACCAUCCAACCGAACAUUCUACCCAAGCGUGAGAGAGUGACUGAACACUUGGUUCCAUCCAUUUAGGGGCCUUGCCAUCUGGGGCAUUCUCCCACCCUGACGCCGUCUUUCUGGUGACCGGCCUCUAAAUCGCUGUCUCUCUGUCUCUUUGCUUUGUAUCUGUUUGUGAGUUGAUCCUGGCUUCUCUCUCUGUUCUAGUGUUGGCUGAAAACACAACAACGAAAGGAACAGAUGCCUGACCGCAUGGCGGCAACCCACCUUGGUGAAAGCUUUGAAUACAUUCAUUCAAUGAAUCAAGAAGCAUUGAUUGAGCACCUAAUAUAUGCUGAGUAAUGGUAAGUAAAACUUUUUCUGUAAAGGGCCAGAUAGCAAAUAUUUUAGGCUUUGAGGGCCAAAUCGUCUCUAUCACAACUACUCAGCUCUGCCAGUUGUAGUUACAAAGCAGCCUAAGACAAUACAUAAACAAGUGGUGUGCUGUGUUCCAAUAAAACUUUAUUUACAACAGACAGCAGUCCAGAUUUGGCCCCUUGGCUAUAGUAUGCCUAUCUCUGAUCUAGAAAAUCUUAGGGAAUUUGAAGCCUAAUGCAACAGUUUUCUCUAAGGAAAUCUACAUGUUUAUGCUUUGCCUAUUCAGACAAGGAAUUAGGGUGAUAUCACUAUGAUUUUAAGUUAUAUUUAUAAGUAGUUUACCCCAAAUAUUACUCUGUUAUCAUUUAGUAUAAUACAGGCUAUCAUAAUUAUUCUAUAAACAUUAACAAGUUACCAUACACAUUGGAAAUAAUGCUGGUCCAACCAAGCUACUGAAGUUAGUUUGGCAAGACUAUCUGAAUAUGAAUUUAAUUUAGGAUAAUUUUUCAGAAGGAGAACCAUUUACGUGAAAGAGUACUGAAUAGUUGACUGAGCUAGUUAUCUUAAUGGUGUGAUUCAAUUCCUGUUUUGACUGCAUGUGAAACUGUUGUGAAGAGAUAACAUAAAGCUGAGCAAACCUGCUUGUCCUCUGAGUCCUAUGGGACUUACUAACUACUUGGAACUUUCAAAAAGUUGUUAUAAAGAGAACAAAUGAAGAAUAUAUCACUUUUAUCUUUCUAUUCUCAGUGAAGUAAUAGUACAUAGAAGAUGCUCAAAAAAUUUUUGCUUUAUAAAUGGAAGGCAACAGACUUUGGUUGGCCAUGGUAACUUAUUUAGAUGUCACUUUUGUGAAAUAUUCACUAAAGAUACCUAGCUAUUUACAAGCCUGUAGAUACUGUGUUUUGGCGCCCAAAAGCUCUUUGUAGCUCCCUUCUCCUUCACUUUCUUCUACUGUAGACUGCCUUGCAGGGAAAGGGACCAUGAUGUUCCAAUUCUGGCCAACAAGAUAUAAACAUAAGGAUCUGCUUGGGGCUUCUGAGAACAUUUCCUGAUAGGGACUGAUUCAGUUUGACCUCUUAUCCCUUCCCUCUUCUUCCUGACACAGAUACAAUACCUUAGAAGUGCAGUAGCCAUCUUAGAAUGGGACAAAAGCGACAGACUAAGGAUGGUGAAGUAAAAAAGAAAGAAGAAGCCUUGACGACAUCAUUGAGCAGCUGCAUUAGCCCUGAACUGACCACAUUUGGGUUUAUUACAUGAGAAGAAAUUUAGUCCCCGGGGGGUAAAGCCAUUGUUUGGUCUUCUAUGACUUGCAACCCAACCCAAUUCUAUCUAUUUGGGGGCUCCAGAUCCAGAAUUUGGAAAAAACCUGUAUAAAAAAAAAAACUAGCUUAAAAUGUCAAGGAAACCACCAAAAGGCCGAGAUUUUUCUUGGCUAAGAGGGAGUAGGCAGAUAACAACCAAAUGCAAAAUAGAGUUUCCUUCUAUUCUUUUUUUUUUUUUUUAAGAUUUUAUUUAUUUAUUUGACAGAGAGAGACAGAGAGAGUAGGAACACAAACAGGGGGAGUGGGAGAGGGAGAAGCAGGCUUCCCGCUGAGCAGGGAGCCCGAUGCGGGGCUCGAUCCCAGGACCCUGGGAUCGUGACUUGAGCCGAAGGCAGACCCUUAACGACUGAGCCACCCAGGCGCCCUGAGUUUCCUUCAUUCUUACACUCCAUCAGCAUUGCUCAGGAGAUGAAAUUUCCAGCAUCCAAUGCAGCUGUAUUAAUUUUCUGACUUCCUGUGCCACUUUGGAAAGUUGGGUUAAAGACAUUUAAAAUCUUGUUAUAAACUCAAAUAAUAUAUAAAGAUCAAAAUUCGUUUGUAUACUUAGGAAGAAGUCCUAUUACAAUACAUCAAGUUCAAAGAAAAUGUUUUACAACAUAGCUUCUAAGAGUAUCAAAGGUAUUGUCAACAGAUUGUUUCUGAACUUGUUUUAGGUAGCAAACACUUUAUGCCAACAAACUAUCCAAAAAGUAUUUAAUAAUAUAUGAAUAUGGUCUACUUUUUAGAGUUUCAUGGCCCCUAAACCAUCAUAUUUUGUGACAUAUACAUUAGCUUUUUUUUUUUUAAAAGAUUUUAUUUAUUUAUUUGAGAGAGAGUGAGUACAUGAGAGGGGGGAGGGUCAGAGGGAGAAGCAGACCCCCCGCCAAGCAGGGAGCCCGAUGCGGGACUCGAUCCCCGGACUCCAGGAUCAUGACCUGAGCCGAAGGCAGUCGCUUAACCAACUGAGCCACCCAGGCGCCCUAUACAUUAGCUUUUAAAGACCUUUGAAAUCUUGGAUUUUAGGAGCACCCAGUUGCCAAAAUUUGGGCAAUUUGGGCAUCAAAAAAUUAAUGAUGGUAAUGGAUUAUAACACAUUAAAUGAAAUGUAAAAAUAUCUAUGAGUUCACAGUGAUUCAAAAGCAUGCCAGCUAGUAAAUGUAGAUGAAUAAGGGAGUUUGCAACUGCCAAUAUAGUAAUUGCUUCAGUGUACCACCAUUAACAGAUGCUAAAGCUAUUGAGUGAAAGGAUGUUAGGGAACAAAAUAAUCACAUGGCUUCAAAGUAGCAUCUCAGAGAUCAGUUAAUAAUUCCAAAAGGAAGAUGUACCUUUACCAUGGUGAGACCUGGUAGACAUACUCUUCCAAGCAGUCAAACUUCGGCAUCAGCAAUGGUAAGACGAUGGGCACUGAUCUUACACACUAAGAGGUACACAACACCCCCUAAGCAGAAUUCUUUCCUGAAUCUAAACAAGGAAAUAGUCAGGCAAAUCCAGAAUUUGGAAAAAACCUGUAUAAAAAAAAAAAAAAACUAGCUUAAAAUGUCAAGGAAACCACCAAAAGGCAGAGAUUUUUCUUGGCUAAGAGGGAGUAAGCAGAUAACAACCAAAUGCAAUGUGUAAAUCUUCAUUAGACUGCACCUUAGAGGAGAAAAAAGUCUGCUUAUGAAAGACAUUUUUAAAAUCUUAAAAAAAAAAAAGGGACACCUGGGUGGCUCAGUCCAUUAAGCAUCUGCCUUCGGCUCAGGUCAAGAUCCCAGGGUCCUGGGAUCGAGUCCCGCAUUGGGCUCCCUGCUCAGCGGGGAGCCUGCUUCUCCUUCUGCCUGCCGCUCCCCCUGCUUUUGUGCUCUCUCUCUCUCUCCCUCUCUCUGACAAAUAAAUAAAAUCUUUUUUUUUAAAAAAAGACAAUUUUAAGACCAUUGGAGGAAUUUGAAUAUAGAGAAUAUAUUCAAUUGCAUUAUUGAAUUAAUGUUAAUUUUCUUAGGUGUGAUAGUAGUGGUAUUGUGGUUAUUUAUUAGAAUGUCUUUUUUCUAGAAGAUCCAUAUUUUAGGCAUUUAGGGGUAAAGUGUCAUGAUGACUGCAUCCUACUUUUUUUUUCUUUUUUUAAGAUUUAUUUUUAGGGGCACCUGGGUGGCUCAGAUGGUUAAAUAUCUGCCUUUGGCCCAGGUCACGAUCUCCAGGUCCUGGGAUCGAGCCCUAUGUCGGGCUCCCAGAUCAGCGGGGAUUCUGCUUCUCCCUCUUCCUCUGCCUCUCCCCCUCCUUGUGCUCUGUGUGUGUGUCUAUCUCUCAAAUGAAUAAAUAAAAUCUUCAAAAAAAAUUUAUCUUUAAGUAAUCUCUACACCCAACAUGGAGCUCGAACUUACAAUCCUGAGAUCAAAAGUUGGGGAAUAUUGAAGUGGAGACUUAGAUACAUAAAUGAAAGGAGCACAAAGAUUGGUUUAAGGGGUAUUGAGAUAAUGUCCAAGUUUUCUACACUAUUCUAGGAUAUGCUGGUUUGGUUUCACCUGGAGAAUCCUGCACCUCUUUAUCACACAAAGUUGUAUCGCAGGCAGACUAGGCUGAAUCCCACCCAGGGUGAUCACCUGUCCCGGUUUGACCAGGACCAAGGGAUUUCCCAAGAAUGGGACAUUCAGUGCUAAAAUUGGGACAGUCCUGGGCAAACUGGCUCUAAGGUCACCCUAAUAUUUCUACUUACCACCUAUGUGACCUUGAGCAAAUCAUUUAGCUCCCCAGAGUCUUGGUUUCCUCAUCUAUAAAAAGGAGAUUACAUAUGUGCUACAAAAUGGAUGAACCUUGAAAAUAUUAUGCUAAGUGAAAGAAGUCAGACACAAACAUCAUAUAUUAUAGGAUGAUUCCAUUUAUAUGAAAUUUCCAGGAUAGGCAAAUCCAUAGAGACAGACAACAGAUUAGUGCCUGCCAGAGCCUGGAGGGUAUGAUUGCUAAGGGGUAUGAGAUUUCUUUUUGGGAUGAUGAAAAUGUUCUAGAAUUAGGUAGUAGCAGUUGUACAGCCCUGUGCAUAUACUAAAAAAACCACUGAAUUGUACAUUUUAAGAGGGCAGAUUUUACGAUAUAUGAUGAUCUCUCAAUAAAGCUGUUAUUUAAAUAAUUGAGUAACACAGCAUCACCAACAAUUCCACUCUUAGGAAUAGGUAAAUCUAUAGAGACAGAAACAAAAUUAGCGGGGCGCCUGGGUGGCUCAGUCAUUAAGCGUCUGCCUUCAGCUCAGGUCAUGGUCCCAGGGUCCUGGGAUGGAGCCCCGCAUCGGGCUCCUGGAUGCUCAGCGGGAGGCCUGCUUCUCCCUCUCCCACUCCCUCUGCUUGUGUUGCCUCUCUCGGUGUGUAUCUCUCUGUCAAAUAAAUAAAUAAAAUCUUUAAAAAAGAAAAAGAUUUUAUUUAUUUAUUUCACAAAGAGAGAGAGAAACAAAAUUAGCGGUGACCUUGGGCUGGGAGGAGUGGAGGAAAAUGGGGAGUGACUGCUCCUGAGAGUGGGGUGUCUUUUGGAGGGAUGAAAAUGUUCUAAAAUUGAUUGUGGUCAUGGUUACAUAUCUCUGUCAGUAUACUAAAAACUAAUGAAUGGUACACUUUAAGAUUUUAUUUAUUUAUUUGAGAGAGAGAGAGAUCAGGAGCAGGGCAGGGUUGGGGGAGAGAGAGAGAGAGCAUGAGUCGGGUGAGGAGCAGAGGGAGAGGGAGAAGCAGGCUCCCCGCUAAGCAGGAAGCCCGAUAUCAGACUUGAUCCCAGGACCCUGGGAUCAUGAACUGAGCAGAAGGCAGAUGUUUAACCAGCUGAGCCACCUGGGGGCCCCAUUUGUUGUUUGUUUGUUUGUUUUUAAAGAUUUUAUUUAUUUAUUUGAGAGAGAGAGAAUGAGAGACAGAGAGCACGAGAGGGAGGAGGGUCAGAAGGAGAAGCAGACGCCCUGCCGAGCAGGGAGCCCGAUGCAGGACUCGAUCCCGGGACUCCAGGAUCAUGACCUGAGCCGAAGGCAGUCGCUCAACCAACUGAGCCACCCAGGCGCCCGUGGGGGCCCCAUUUGAAUGGUAUACUUUAAAUGGGUGAAUCGACUUGCAUGGUAUGUGAAUUAUAGCUUGAUAAGGCAUUAAACAGGUAAUACGGUAAAAGUAUUUUAGGUUAAACAAAGGAGAUUAUAAUACCUAUGUGAGGUCUAAAUGAGUCUUUGCUCUCAUAACGCUCACACCCCCUCCCAAAACACACUAUCACACCAAAUCAUCAUUGUGUAGGCUUUUUUUCUUGCCCACUGAGCUGAGAACCGUUUGAUAACAGAAACUUUCUAAUUCACAGAGGGCCAGUUUCCUGGGCAUGGAACCUACUCAGUCACACAAGACCCCUACUCAGAAGAGCCCCACAUUUGGUUUAACGCUCUGCUGUCACUGUCUUUUUUUUUUUAAGAUUUUAUUUAUUUAUUUGAGAGAGAGAAAGCACAGGAGAGGGGGGAGGGUCAGAGGGAGAAGCAGACUCCCCGCCGAGCAGGGAGCCCAAUGCGGGACUCGAUCCCGGGACUCCAGGAUCAUGACCUGAGCCGAAGGCAGUGGCUUAACCAACUGAGCCACCCAGGCGCCCUGCUGUCACUGUCUUGAAAUUCUUAAUAUCUGAAUGAGGUGCAGGCGACCCUCAUUUCCAUUUUGCACUGGGCCCGGCAAAGUUUGUAGCUUACUGAAUCCACCUUUGUACCCCCAACAUUUAGCAUAGUACUGAUGCUCAGUGGGUGUUCUCUAUCCCAAUCCCAGUGCCCUGAGACUUUGCUCAGAACAGCUCAUUGACUUUCAACACCGAUUUAUCCAGAGUCUCCUACGUGCCAGGAAGCGUGUCAGCAGCUGGGGACACCGUGGGGAGCCAAAGCAGGCAGCAGGCUGCGGCAAGGGACUGGCUCAGAAGGAGGCUGUUCCCGCAGGUAAAUGUGCCCACCUAACCACUUGUCUCAGACAGCAGUGACAACGUUUGACUCAUUUGUACUUUCAGUUCAAGAAAAACACGUCACCUUGGGAUCCGAUUUUUGCAAGUUCUGCUUUAUCACAGGAACUAGAAGACUCUGAUGAAUGAGGAUGGGACUUCAGUUCUUUUCCAUGGUGUGAAUAAAAAGUUGACUCUG